UAGUUGUCACUAAAUUUUAUAAAAGAGGUUUAAAACAUUUAAGUUUCUAGAAACACAGAAAAGCAUUAUGUAAGUAAACA